AGUUAAUAAAGGUAUAAUAAGACAAAAUUUAAAUGCUAUCAUUUUUUCUUUCUUUCUUCUUCAACCGUCUAUGAAGAAAAUGGGCAGCCAUGGAUGAGAAAACAUUCGGCCAAGUUUCUAUGGCCCAUCUAGAUCCCGGAAAACGAGAUUUGGACCUAGAACGGGAGAAAAAUUGAAAAUCGAGAAAGUUGAUCAAAUGGACGUUUUGGUAUUGAGGCAAGUUCAUGUGUUUAAUAUGCAUUUAAUUAAGCAUGUUUGAAUGCUAAAUUGAUAUAUUAGUUAUAAAUGCUUUAGUAUUGAUUUUUGAAUAUAAUGAUAAUAGUUGAGAAAUGUUCGAUAAUGAUUCGACAUUAAAAAUGAGAAUUCGAAUAAGUUUACAUAUAAGACCAUAGUUGUAAUGUGGCUUUGUAUAAGAUCAAGAAAAUAUUGAAUAGCAUAAUUUGAGGAGAGUAAGAUAAAUUGAGGAUAUGAUGACAUUGAGAAUGUAAGUAUGUAAGUUGAGUAGCAUUUUAUUAUUAUGCAAUUGUUGCUAUUAUUAUUAUUGAGUUAUGUGACUGACCUUGAAAAUUUGAGCAAGUAUGUUUCAGCUAUGAUUUGUCAAGGCAUUGAUAUCUCAAGGUCCAUGUUUAUAUCAUGGCAAUUAAGAAAGAAUUGACGGAAAAGACCAUGGUUGGACCAUGGCAGUGAGUGUGCCAGUGUAAGACCAUGUCUGGGACAUGGCAUCAGCACAGUCCGACGAGUGCUAGUGUAAGAUCAUGUCUGGGACAUGGCAUCGACACGGACAGAGAAGAGUCAGUGUAAACCAUGUCUGGGACAUGGCAUCAGCUCGAGAUGAGUGCUAGUGUAAGACCAUGUUUGGGACAUGGCAUCGGCAUGGACAGAGAAGAGUCAGUGUAAGACCUUGUCUGGGACAUGACAUCGGCUCGAGAUGAGUGCUAGUGUAAGACCAUGUCUAGGACAUGGCAUCGGCACCGAUAUGUGAUCCCAUGUAAGACCAUUUCUGGGAUAUGGCAUUGGCAGUACAAGAAACAUCCUAUGUAAGACCAUUCCAAGGCAUGGCAUUGGUGAGUUCAUAAGGCAAGGAUACCACGUAAGACCAUGUAAAGACAUGGCAAUGGUAAGUUUCAAAAAGAAAGGUACUUGAGUAAUCCAAAGAAUAAUUCAGAGAGAUGACAAGGUAAGAUCAUGAGGAAAGAGUACAGGUAUGUACAUAAGGCUUAAUAAUAUUGAGGUUAUAAGUUGAUGAUAUUAAAAGUAUUUUAAUGAGUAUAUUCAAGUAUUAAGUAAGUGAUAAGUUUUCAAUUAUACUUAUGACGCUUUGUGACAUGAUUGGCAAUAUGUCUAUAUUAUGAAAGAGUAUUAAUGUGUUAAAUGAGAUUUUGCAGGUGCGUAAGCAAGCUAUUAAGUAAGGUGCUUUAUUUUUUUUAUCCUGAGCUUUUGGUAAGGUUACCGAUGAGUAAGAUGGGAAAGUAUGAACUUAGCAUUAUUUAUGCAAAUUAUGAAAGCUUAGUAAUAAGCUAAAUUCAUUACUAAUGAUUGUUAUUUUACAUGUGAACUUACUAAGCUUUAUAAGCUUACCUCUUUCCUUUCUUUUGUUCCAAAGUCUUAUCAAACAAGCUCUCGUUGGAGGUCGUGGAAGAUCGCUUCACACUAUCAACUAUCAAGUUACCAAUUGGGUAUUUUCAUUGACAAACGUUUUAAGUUAUGGCAUGUAUAGGGUGUAAUCACUGAAUUUUGUUCGGCUCGAUUUCGUGUUUUUUUAAAUAAAAAAAAUACAAAAAAUAACAAAUUACAUUUUGACCCAUAAACUUUUUGAAUUUGCAUUUUAACCUUUAAAUUUUCCUAAAAUUACAUUUUGACCCAUAAACUUUUUGAAAUUACAUUUUGACCCCUAAGUUUUCUCAAAAUUUUGUUUUGGCCCCAGAAGUUUUGCUACGUUCGCAUUUUGGUCCUUCUGACAGCCAAAUGCGAUUUGCGCACCUACUCCCCGAUUUUUCGGCCACCGGCCUAGGGCAUGGCCUCCCUCCUCCCUAGCCACCUGCUCCCUGCAAAAAGAAGUAAAGAAAACAUCUAUAAAAGGGGCUUAAAACCCCAAAAUCACAACACCCACUAAUCAAAAAAAAAGAAAAGAAAAAGAAUGUUUCAAAAGAAUUUUUCAGCAGCAAAAAGAAAGAGGAGAAAGAGGAAGAGGAAAGGAAGAAAGAGAGGGGAGGAGCGACGGCGGUGCAGCGGCGGCGUGAAGGAGGCCGGACGGAGAAGAAGAGAAAAAAAAAGAGAAAGAAAGAAGAAAGAAAAAGAAAAAAAGAAAAAAGAAAAAAGAAAAAGAAAAAAGAGAAAAAAAUUAAAAAUAAAAUAAAUUUUUUCUACAUAGUCGGGUCGUCCGACCCGACCCGCCACCUGCAGACCCAGGCCAAGCCCAGCAGCCCAAAGAAAAAACAAAAAAAAGAGGCAAAAGCAAAAAAAAAAAAAGAAAAGGAAACAGGCCAAAAACAGCCCAAGCGCAGGCCCAACCCAACGCUAGGCUCAACAGCAGGCCUAGCAGGCCAGCUAGCCCAACGCCAGCAGCAGGCCAAUAGCCCAGGCCCAAAGGCAGCAGGCCAAAAAAGAGGAGAAAAAAAAGAGAAAAAAAAAGAAAGAAAAAAGGAAAAAAGAAAAAAAAAGAAAAGUUCAAUUUGUGUAACUCGUUCGACGAAGCUCCUGUUUUGAGAUCUUUUCGGUAGUUUCAUUUAUUUCUCUUUUAAUUUAAUGCUCGUAUUUUUAUGUUAUUUCAUUUUAAUAUUAUUAGUAUUUUAUGCAUUUUUAUAUUUUUGUAUUUAUAUUUUUAAUUUAAUUCAAUUUUAUUUUUAUUUUUUAAAAUAA